rnacentral:rRNA from 1 species
AUUGAACGCUGGCGGCAGGCUUAACACAUGCAAGUCGAGCGGGGGAAGGUAGCUUGCUACCGGACCUAGCGGCGGACGGGUGAGUAAUGCUUAGGAAUCUGCCUAUUAGUGGGGGACAACAUCUCGAAAGGGAUGCUAAUACCGCAUACGUCCUACGGGAGAAAGCAGGGGAUCUUCGGACCUUGCGCUAAUAGAUGAGCAUAAGUCGGAUUAGCUAGUUGGUGGGGUAAAGGCCUACCAAGGCGACGAUCUGUAGCGGGUCUGAGAGGAUGAUCCGCCACACUGGGACUGAGACACGGCCCAGACUCCUACGGGAGGCAGCAGUGGGGAAUAUUGGACAAUGGGGGGAACCCUGAUCCAGCCAUGCCGCGUGUGUGAAGAAGGCCUUAUGGUUGUAAAGCACUUUAAGCGAGGAGGAGGCUACUUUAGUUAAUACCUAGAGAUAGUGGACGUUACUCGCAGAAUAAGCACCGGCUAACUCUGUGCCAGCCGCCGCUGUAAAAC